GGUAAGGCUUGGGCCACCAACGGGAAAGAACUCCACUUGCACACACACGCACCUCCCCCCCCCACACCCCUCCGGGCGGUGCUGCCUGGUGAAAUAUCAGCUGGCAGGUGCCGUUGGGUAAAGCCUGGUGUUCCCUACUGACGUUUUGCUUCUUCCUGCCCCGGUGGUACCUGGAAUAUAUCUUCACUUGCUAACAGAAGGGAAAAGAAACCAAACAAAGUCUUGCUAUGCUUUGAUGGGGAGAAAACUUCCUGCAGAGGAAAGAUUUCUUGCCAGUCGCCGCUGCCUGCCCAGUCUGUGGAAGCACCUACUGCAAUAUCCCCAGUUUGUGCCCGCACUGCGACCUCCCCUAUCUUCCACCCAUCCUGAGGGCAGAGGAAAAGUGCCCCACGGCCAGCCUUCACCCCCACCGGCUCCCACUCUCACCACCUCUGCUGCCAGUUUUCCAGAGGAGAAAAUGGACAUCCUCCAUCCCACCAAAAACCUUGCCGCCGCUGAGCCUGCCCCUGAGGGGUGAGAGGCGAGUGCUGGGUGCUGGGGCCCAUGAGUGAAAGGACAGCUCUUUGACUGGGAACUUACCACGCCAUAUCAUUUGCUUGAAAUGGGCAUCACGCCCUACGAGCGCUGCUCCCUGUUCAGCAGGGCCGUGCCUAUCAGCAAAGUAUUGCGUAGAGAAGUAUCAUCAGUUAGGUUAUCUUAUUCUUUGUUCACGCCUAAUGUUAUUUCUGAGAAACAUUGUAAAAUGUUACUUUAUCAUGUUAAGACUUUGUGCCCUACCAAUGUAUGCGCUGUACGGCAAGGUGUGACGGUGGAGCUGCCUUCCACUGGCUCUUACUGGCUUUGGCUCAACUAUUACGAAGACACUAUAUAAUAUGCUAGAAACAUGGAAGAAGAUACAUCUGCUACUGCCUUCUCACAUAUUAGAGAAACAAACACAUGGUUCCGUGUGAAAAUCAUGUUGCGUCAAAAAUAGAGUCUCUAUUAAAUGA